rnacentral:rRNA from 1 species
GCUCACCUACGGGAGGCAGCAGUCGGGAAUAUUGCGCAAUGGAGGAAACUCUGACGCAGUGACGCCGCGUAUAGGAAGAAGGUUUUCGGAUUGUAAACUAUUGUCGUGAGGGAAGAAAUUGACAGUACCUCAGGAGGAAGCUCCGGCUAACUAUGUGCCAGCAGCCGCGGUAAUACAUAGGGAGCAAGCGUUAUCCGGAUUUAUUGGGUGUAAAGGGUGCGUAGACGGGAAAUUGAAUUAGUUGUGAAGUCCCUCGGCUUAACUGAGGAACUGCAACUAAAACUGAUUUUCUUGAGUACUGGAGG